GUUCACUUUGGCAGCACAUAUCCUAAAAUUGGAAAGAGAGAGAUGAUUAGCGUGCCCCCUGCACAAGGAUGGCACACAGAUUCAUGAAGCAUUCCAUGUUUUU
ensembl:snRNA U6 U6 spliceosomal RNA